GACGAACGCUGGCGGCGUGCUUAACACAUGCAAGUCGAACGGUGAAGCGCCUUCCUUUUUGGUGGGUGUGGAUGAGUGGCGAACGGGUGAGUAACACGUGAGUAACCUGCCCCCUUCUUCUGGAUAACCGCAUGAAAGUGUGGCUAAUACGGGAUAUUCUGGUUCUGUCGCAUGAUGGGUCUGGGAAAGAUAUUGUUUCGGUGGGGGAUGGGCUCGCGGCCUAUCAGCUUGUUGGUGGGGUGAUGGCCUACCAAGGCGGUGACGGGUAGCCGGCCUGAGAGGGUGGACGGUCACACUGGGACUGAGACACGGCCCAGACUCAUACGGGAGGCAGCAGUGGGGAAUAUUGCACAAUGGGCGCAAGCCUGAUGCAGCGACGCCGCGUGAGGGAUGGAGGCCUUCGGGUUGUGAACCUCUUUCGCCAGUGAAGCAGGCCUGCCUCGUUUGUGGGUGGGUUGACGGUAGCUGGAGAAGAAGCGCCGGCUAACUACGUG
rnacentral:rRNA from 1 species